UGGGGGAUAUUGCACAAUGGGGGGAACCCUGAUGCAGCGACGCCGCGUGGGUGAAGGAGCGCUCCGGCGCGUAAAGCCCUAUCGGCAGGGAAGAAAGAGACGGUACCUGACUAAGAAGCCCCGGCUAACUACGUGCCAGCAGCCGCGGUAAUACGUAGGGGGCAAGCGUUAUCCGGAUUCACUGGGUGUAAAGGGAGCGUAGACGGCCGCGCAAGCCAGGAGUGAAAGCCCGGGGCCCAACCCCGGGACUGCUCUUGGAACUGCGCGGCUGGAGUGCGGGAGGGGCAGGCGGAAUUCCUGGUGUAGCGGUGAAAUGCGUAGAUAUCAGGAGGAACACCGGCGGCGAAGGCGGCCUGCUGGACCGCGACUGACGUUGAGGCUCGAAAGCGUGGGGAGCGAACAGG
rnacentral:rRNA from 1 species